GGAGGGUCCAGCUCAGCGGUAGAGCGCAUGCUUAGCAUGCACAAGGUCCUGGGUUCAAUACCCAGUACCUCCA
rnacentral:tRNA from 1 species